AUUGAACCUACAACCUCAUGGAUACUAGUUAGAUUCAUUUCUGCUGUGCCACAACAGGAACUCCCUUUGCCCUAUGUCGAUAUUAUGGCAGUCAUAAUUUGGGAUUAGAGAGUUUAGCAGUCCCUCAGAAAAUCUUUUUCCAACCUGCCUGACUUCUCAGGGUUUGAAUUUCCACUGUGAGUGAUUUGCUGGGCUCCUGGCCUUAAGGCCACAAGGACAAAGGGAAUCCAGCCUUCAGGAUCUGUCUCAGGAUAGUGUCUGCAAGUCACCAUAGGUGUGAUGAGGUGUGCUGAGUCACAACACUGGAGGCAGGCAAGCAGAGAGCACAGCGGGUAUGGAAGGUUCAAACAGGCAAAGGAAACAGGGUCAGGAAGAACUUGGAGCCAAGAUGUCAGGUGACGUGGUGGGGCAGGUGUGAAUAUCACAGUCAAGCAAGUCCCAUGCUUUGGGCUUGAGGUGGUUCUGCCUUCCUCCUCUGGUUGAACUUGUAUUUACAGGACCAUUCUUGGGUUUAUAAAUAUUAGGUCUGAAACCACAUGUAAGGGCAGGACAUGGAUAUGUCUCUUAUUGGGAGAUUCUGGAAUUAUUCUUACCAGAGUUGAUGGGAGAAUGAACUAUAUGAUAGCUAAGAUCUGCCCUCCUCCUCAAGCUCUCUUCCUUCUAAGACAGGAGAAUCUUCUAAGAAACCCCCAUAGAAGACAGCCUCCAGGGUGCAUAUCCAGAAUGCAAAUUCAGAUUUGAGCUUUGUUCCAAGAAAAUAUUUGUCCUGGAAAAUUUCAAGGCUUGUUAUCAAAGACCCUAACUUUCCCUGUCUUAUGCGGUUACUGUGAAGUUCAAGUGUCUGCCGACGUGGUUAGGCUACUUUCAAGUGGCCACAAGAGGUGAAGCAAGCGAAGUGGGAACUUUAAGAUGCCGUGUAGGUGUGGGAGACCUCCAGGACCAACUUGCCAUCCAGAGCACCCAAAGAAUAAAACAUUAUGGACCCAGUUCUUUGUUCUUUUUUUUUUCUUUCCCCCCAGAACCUUUCAAAAAUAAACUUAGUUUCUACUUAUCCUCCUUCCACCCACUCUCAAAAUUUCCCAGAUAUGCCUUUCUCCUAAAACCUUUUUAGUUCCUCCUGUGAUUAUUAACUCUUCUGUGAAAGAAGUCAGGUUUGCCC
rnacentral:lncRNA from 9 species